CUUUUAUGAUCUGGUUUAGUAACAUACCAUUGUACACUAGAGAGGUAGUUAUGUAAGAUCAUCAACAAAUACCAACCAAAUUAAGAUGUGCACAAGUGUUGCGUGCAAGUUCUGAAUUCAGUAGAGUGACAUGUCUGAUGCAAAAUUCAGUAACUGCCAGUAUUCAUAAAGAAGUACUUGCAAUGUCCUUGUUUGUUAUCAGAUGAAUAACGAAUUUCGAGUUAUAUGUCCACACUUAUGCGAACGGUUUGUGAU
rnacentral:lncRNA from 1 species